rnacentral:lncRNA from 1 species
CUCUCCGGUUGCACGGGCGGCUGGGCGCGAAGGCGCGCGGGUCGCGGCGGCGGGGCCGGGGCCGGGGCCGGGGCCGGGGAUGGCUUUCGAGGCGCUGGCGGAGGCGGCGGAGCGGUGGUGCGCCCGCACGCCCUUCCAGCUUAUCGCCGCCGAGGAGACCGAGCGCCGCAUGGACUUCUACGCCGAGCCCGGCGUCUCCUUCUACGUGCUUUGCCCGGAGGCCGCCUGCGGCGACAAUUUCCAUGUGUGGAGUGAAAGUGAGGACUGCUUACCUUUUCUGCAGCUCGCACAGGAUUACAUCUCUUCCUGCGGGAAGAAGACACUCCAUGAAAUAUUGGAAAAAGUCUUCAAAUCCUUCAGACCUUUACUUGGGCUUCCAGAUGUUGAUGAUGAUGCAUUUGAAGAGUAUAACGCAGAUGUGGAAGAAGAGGAACCAGAAGCCGAUCACCAACAGAUGGGUGUCAGUCAGCAGUGAUUUUCUGAGAAGCUAAAAAAAUGCGGAAGCCUUUGGUACCAGGUGGGGUCAGGUGGUCCCACAUUAGCGUGUUCGAAUUGGCACAUCACAUGGGGAUAUCUGGCUUCCAGGAUAAAGGUUUUACAAAAGGGUUUAAAAAAAUUUAAUAAUAAUAAUAAUCUGUGAUGAGCUUUGCUAAGAAGUGACCUGAAUUUUGCUCCUGCUUCAGUGGGUUUUCUAUGGAGUUGUCUUGGUAGCAUUCUGCCGUUAUCAGCCUAGAAGUAGUUUUGUCGCUGACUUAUCUCUUCGAUUUGUGUUCGAGAGUAGCAUUCACUGACAUGAAUGUAGAGUACCGAGGAUGCAGGAAGUGUGUGGUGAGAGGGCUGAGUCCUCACCAGUGACCUUUCUGAGGAACCAGCGCAGUGAGCAAACACCGCCUGCGCUUUUCUUUUUAGUUAAACAGGGUUUUUGACAAAGUACCAAAAUUGGAGAAAUUUCUCCUGAAAAAACACUAGUUUAAUAGUGGUUGGCACUGCAGAAGUGCACGUGAAGGCUUAACAAAAACAAUGGGAAGGAGGAAACCCAGGGGAGUACUGGUGUCAGACAUAUGGAUGUUGGUUUACUGACACCUGAGUUUGCAAGUGCUGAAUUACUAACUGGGAGUAAUAAGUAUCAGCAGUUGUAACCAACCCUGGUACUCCAACACCAUAUGAUCCAAAGCCAAAUGCUGCUUUCAUACAAAUCAGUUUAAAAAUAGCCAUCGCCUAUCCCACUUCUGCAUGACAACCAACUUCAAGCUUUGCGCUUUUUUAAUACACUGCUAAAUUAUAUCUCAAACCUCGUGGCAUCAUGAACUGAAGUGCAACUUAACUUUGAAGCCAUAAGGGUAUAAACCAGCACCUGGCUCUUGAAAUGCCGGACCUGUUCUUCUCCCUGGGCCUUUUUGCUGAUCCAAGCAUUUACAUCUUGUUGGAGAGGAGCUAAAAUACUACUACUACCUUGGCUGAUAUAAAAACUAAUGAGGUUUUAUUUAGCUGGGAACUUUUUCCCCAGAGGGGUUUGGUGGGGUCUUGGUAUACAGGAGAAGAAGACCCCUUGUAUUUUAUACCUAUUUUGCAUAGAUUUUAGUGACUUAGAGGAGUACCAGACUGUGAAGAUGCAGGGUCUCUUUAUUUACUUGUCUUUUGUACUGAAAAUAUAAGAAGCGAAGGAGAUUCUAUUGUAAUACAGAUGUUUUCCACAAUUGAGCAAAAUGUUUCUAAAUUUACUCCUUUUUCCAAUUUUUAAAAAAUAAUGAAAUGAAGGUCACAUGCUUCAAAAGCCCUUUUAUACAGUAUUAGCUUUAUAAAGCAAAAAGUGAGCGAAGAGAAAAUGCUUGGACAACUUCUAGAAACAACUUGGACCAUUCUGAAAACCCUAUUGUUAGCAAUGUCUCCUUUUCAGUAGAUUUGUUAAAGACUUUCUUUUUAAGGUUACUUAAGAGAGCAAGUUUUCUUGGUGGUUUACAUUUCUGAUGAUGGCUUGAGAGAUGCAUAGCACUUGAUUUUUUUAAUCUGGGGCAAAGACCUUCCAUAACCAGGAUGGUGUGUGAUACCUGAGUAUGCACAAAAGUGUCUGCAACACUGUAAAAGUCAGAGUUUAAGAAUGUCAAAAAAAAGUGGAAGAGAAACAGCUUAGUGCAACUUUGUACAUUCUUUUGGCAUGCAGGCAUAAACAUGGUAGUCACAGCACAUUUUGUAUGGACUAGUGACAUGAGAACUAUGGCGGUUCAUUGUAUAACAUUGUACAGCAGCAAUAGGCUUUUUGCUUACUAAAAUAAAGUGUAAGAAAGACCAGUGGUUUCCAUCCCUGCUUUAAGUCCCUAAGUUUUUCUUUCCUCCCCAGCUAAACCAGAUGCCACAACCUUAAAGAGAACCUUGCUUCGGGAGAACCUUUCUCUUCACAGCAUCCAAUCCUUUGGUUGUGGCUCAUUCAAGUAGAUCUUCUGAGGCUGACUUACCUCUGCUGUAAUGUAAUGCAAGAUAUAAUUUACAGUAGUGCAAGCUGGAGGCAAAGUCCUGCCAUUCACGUUUGCUAGCCACUUGCAACCAUUUUGCUUGGGUGCAGGUGGCUGGCACUGACAUGCAUGUGUAUGCACACACACCAGCACCAGCCCCGGGCAUGGUUGCAUCGUGAGCUGGGCUGUGGGGUUGGUCUGGUUGGGAGAUAACCCUCUGCAUUCUUAUGGACAGGCGGUUUUCCAGCUGGAUCAGUCCCACCACCUGGUUCAGCGAGUGGCUUCACAGAUGAGCACUGGCACAACAGAGGGGAGGCUGCAGGGGUGGACAUGAGUGAUAGCUGAGGGAGGACCUGCAGCUGAAGGUGCCUUGCACCCCUUGCAUGGUAUGAGGGGCCUAUGGCAGAGGUGCAGAUGCAAUCUGAACCAGCCUAAGUGCUGUGAGGAUUGACUUCAGAGGGCUCAGUGGGGAGAACUGGGCUCUGGGUGGCAGGAUAGGCAGGAAGUCCUGAAAUGAGGAAGGACUAAGAUCUAGUGCUUCUAAUUGCAUAAAGGAUGUUGAAAUAUUUACUGCACGCUGCUACCUUUCCAUGCAUAUCAGUUGGAUUGUUCGUGAGCAGUUGAAUGUUAAUAUGGUUGCAAAAACAUAACACUGUAAAUUAUGUAGAUAUAUUAUUUUCUGUAUUCACUAACUCACUUUUGUUUUUGGAAUGCCAUAUGUCAUUUGGGUGACUUCCACACCAGACUGCAAGUACUGGACAGCCGGGGGGCCCUUCUGCAGCACUCACCCCUGCAAAAUUCCCAUUGAAGCCAGCAAGAUUGUGUUCAAAUGGGACCUGCGGGAUCAGGUGCGCCAAGGAAUGCAUGAGGCUUGGUCCUGCAGAAAGCUGAGCCUUCUUGUCCCCUCUCAUUUUGCUGGGAACUGAAUGUAUUGAGCCCUGCUGCUGAACUGAUGCAUGACCAGGCAGCACUGAGAAUAAAGAAUUUUCUACAUAGAAAAUUGAAUUUACAUGUGUGUUAAAGGUGAAUGAGCAUUAAUAUAGAAUGUAUUUUAUCAAAAAAUAUGGAUUGCUUACUUUGACUAAAUACAUUUCUGCAUUGCCUGUUACUUGUUCCAAAGUAACUUACCAAACAAUGCAAGAGAUGCAGAACAGGUUUAGUUAUAUUACAAAGUAUUUUCAUUUGUAUUUUAUUUUUCCCUCACUCCCACCACGUAUUGAAGUUGGUAGCCAUUCAGUAGUUAAGGCAUAGCAUGACCCAGUGAUUAAGGCUGCCAGACUGAGACAGGAGGUUUGAGAACACUUGCACAAAUACUUGCAAGCUUGGGGGCUCGAUGAGAAGAUGGGGGUUCAGAGCUCUGCCAUUGACUUACCCUGAGCUUCAGGUGGAUCUUAGUGGCUGGGAAUUCAAGGCAGGCCUCCAGUUAUGCAUCCAGACCUUUAUGAAAUUCAGUGGGAGCAGGGUAACUCUUUUGGAAGUUCCACUUUAAGCCUUUUGUGAAAGGGGCCAUUAGCAUUAUUUGCCCACCAGUGAAUAAAAUACUUUUAGAUCUGUGGGUGAAAAGAGGUGUGCAUAAUCAUUGCGUAUCCUCAAAGCAAAACAUUAGUGAAAGGACACAGAAGAGUCUCCAUUUUCUCUCACUUUUCUCUCAGAGGCAUUUCCUGCUCUAGCUAAAUAUAAAUAUACCAGAGCAACUGGCAUUUCGGAAUAUGAGUUGCAUGAAUGCAGUGAGCAGAGUGCUGCUUGGGCGAUGAGAAAUACAAGGGAUGCCAGAGGAAAGAGCAGCUUUCAGAAAUGCAACAACUGGUUUGGGUAGCAGGGGCAAGAGUGAGGAAGGCCCUUUUCAGAGAUGUUGAGAUUUCUGAGACAGCCCAAACCAUCCUGCCAAGUAUCUGCUUAUUGAACUUCAGCAGUUUAUAAAAAAAACUCUGGACAUUACUGGGGCCUUGAGCUUGGUUGUGUUUUCCCUUUAGUGUCCUGCCUGAUGAAUGCAUUAUUGAGAUAGUUGAGAGGAAGGGAUGGAGAAAAGGCAAACUAAAAGGCCUUCUCUUCCUCUCUUCCCCAACAUUGUUAUUUAUGAUAUUGUGUGAGUAGGUAGGAGCAGCAGUCAGGGCGCAGGAAGCUGCUUUAUUAGGUGCACAGUAACAUCUUGUAAAGGACUUGCACACCCCUGAGCAUGGUGACCUGAACCCCUCUGGACUUCAGCUCCACCUCCUGCCCUGCUCUGGGCUGUUUUCCAGGCAGUUCCCAUAGUGCUGUGCUUUUGAAAGUCACAUGUUUGUAAGAAUGCCACUGUUGACAGGAAUAGCCAGAGUUAGUUUUCCUGCAUCAGUGACCUACACACUAGCUGCUGUGUCUCGGCACUGUGUCCCAUGUAAGGUGUGCUGUGUGACGUGUUGGCUGGGGACAGUGGGGAGGAGUUGCUGCUACAACAUUGCUUAGUAGGUAACUGCCCUUUCCCCCUCUGCAAGGUGGGACAUGAGACUGUGACAGUAAAAGUAGUGGCAGUAGCAUUACAGAUGUUGCUUUGGAAAGCUGCCAUAUAGAACAGAUUUCCAGCCUCUUCAAGCAUGUUUACUGAUCUUUCACCAGGACCAGGGCUGAAGUCCAUAGCUGUUUUGCUCACAGUCAGCUUUAGGUGUAGCAUUACUGCUUCAUCCUUGCGUCCAUCCUUGCCCUCUGUCCAUCCUUACCACUCUGUUCUUCUCAGAAAUUCCCAUUCCCAGAAGAGUCAAAGCAGAGAAACAGAAAGAGAACCCCCUCUUAUCUGGCAUAGCUUGAAGCCAGGUGCAUCGGUGAGAGCUUCAGGUUAGCACAGUGAGCCACACUGUCCUUUCUGCUCAGAGGUGUGAGGGGACAUGGGAAAUGUGCUAUCUUUUGAGGACCCGUGAGCUGUCCAUGCCAGACAGGGUUAUGCAGAAGAGAGCAGUCAUUUUAGGUGCCAAACCCAAGAUCUUUUCACAAGGAGUGAUGCCUAGCUAAAUAAUCCAGUUGCUGAAAAUCAUGACCCAUCGAGGCUUUCCAGGCUGGGCAUCCAGAAAACGAGACCUCUCUGGCUGCCAGUUGCUGGGGAGCCUGGCCCAGCCUGCAGGUCGCUUUCUCAGCACUGGCUGGUUUUGGUCUGGCCACAGGAUGUGGGGAACUGGGAAGGAUCCCUUCAGGGGCUCUAGCUGCAUGCCCCUUCCUGUAAAUGGCUGAGCAGUGGGAAAUGCCUUGUUUUACCUGUUUAAUUCUGGCAGGAGCUCCCCUCCUCCCUAGCAGCCUGUCUUAGAAGCCUUGGUGUGACAUCUAGGCAGGAGUGAUUCGGGGCAGGAGCUCUGGGACCCUGUAGCAGGCUGAGCUUGAGAUAGCCCUGCAGAGUCACCAUGGAGUUGAAGGCUCGGGGACAUCACUUCCAAGGCAGAUACUAGAAUUAUCUAUUCUAGCAGGCAGACCUUGUCACCUCUGAGACAUAACUUCAUCGCAGUUUUGGUGGUUUAUGUCUGUGGCAGGUGCAUGAAGGAAACAUCUUCACUUACCCACAAUCACCAUCCAGUGAGCCAACAUAUUAUUUAAGUACUCUAUGUCUGACUUUUUUCUAAUUGCUGAUUUUCUUUUAAAGACAGGCAACCUUUAGCAGCACAUCUGCAUUAUUGCAAACCCCAGUUUCUACAGAGCUACAUAGCACUGCUCAGUCACUAUGAACUUGGUCAUAAAUAUACAGACUAACAAAAAGGGUGUCCAUGUGUCUGAAGAAAAAAAGACUUCUUUGAACUAGUUACUGCUGACUACAGAAAAGCUCACUGGUUUAAUGUAAAAUACAUUGAAAUUCCCUUUCUGUACCAACAUGCUGUUGCUCAUGUAGGCAACACUGCAUGUAAAGGAUGUCUGCUUUCAUCUUUGGGGGUGGUGAUGGAAAUGUCAGCUCUGGUUUUCAGUCAAUGCAGAUUUUUUUUGUUGUCAAGUUUUCCUUUACUAGCGCAGGGACCAGUCAGACCUCAACAUGUUGAGCAGAAAUCAUGUUGUGCCACGCUGUGCAAAAGCUGGUUUUGGUGUGCAUCCACCAUUUUUCCUGGCUGGAAGAUCUCUCUGUCUUUGGGACUGCAAAGCUGUAAAACAGGUCACCAAAAGAUGUUGCCCUUUUGUUCAGUGCUUUAAAAGGUGUAAGCCUUCAGUGGAGCCCUACCUUUCCUCUGAUCCUCCUUCCUUUCCUACCACCGAGGCAUCAAAUCCAGCAGUGUUGUUACACCGUGAGCUUGCCAUUAAAGAGCUUACCAAACUCUGAUGACUGAUGGACUCUGUGAGCAAAAUCAACCAAACAGGGAUUAAAGAGUAGCUACAAUGCGUGUGGCAAAGGGAGUGGGAAGAUUGCAUUUCCUGGACACUGUUGGUGCAUAGUGUUUGUUUGCAAGUGCAAGGAGGAGAAAAUUAUUUCAUCUGAGCUUUUGGUAUUGCAGAGUAAACCCUUCUUUAUAGGACAGGACCCAGAAAUGCCACGUGGUCUGGUUUGGUGCAGUCUGAGGUGGUGGGUUUGCUGUCAGAAGAUGGGAACUGGUGGUAAUAUUUGUGGUGAGCUAGUAUUUCAGCCCUCCCAGAUCCUAAUCUGUUUUUGCACACAUUAGGGAGACAUCUCUUCUAAUUAAGAGGCAUGUAAUCAUGCUGAAAUGAAAAUUGGUGUUUCUGUUCAAUUCGUCUCUUUUCUUUAAACACUGCACUUUUAAUUGCUGCUUUGACAUGUUCUCACCCUGAUUUAGUUGAAGGAACACUGUCAGUCAUUACCUUUUGUCAUGAGCCUCUGUGGAUUGAAGAAUAUCUUCCAGCCCAUGGAAGAGCAAGUGCUUUAACUUACCACUGGCCUUGUAUUUUUGGCACUUCCCAUGGCAUGGGUGCUGAGUAGGAGCGUGCCAAUUACAUGCCUUGUGGUGUGUCCAAAACCCUCAGCAUUGUCUAUAAAGCUAUUCCUACAGCUGGUGGAAUGCCUGCCAAGACUGACUUCCUUGUGUUGGUGCACAUCCUGGCAACACAAGCCCCACAACCUCUUAAGGUUGUGGAGAUGAAUGGACUGAAUAGUCCAGCAGAGCUUUGCGUAUGGUGGAAGCCACUGUGACAAUUAGGCUCUGGUUACAGAUACAGCCACCCUUUGUGGAAAAGGUGAUGGUCCCAGCAUGUGUUUAGCUAUUUGGAGCCUGCUGGCCGCUCAGGUCUGCUGGAUGAACUUCUUCCUGCAUCAGAAGGUCAAGUGAAUUUAAGCAGUUUAGAAAGCAGCUCUCUGCUGUUCCAGACCUCAGCCCAGGGACAACAAGCUGCCCUGCUGUGGUGGUGAAUUCCUACACAAGGUGGUGGCUGCAGCUGGGAGCACUUUGCCUUGCACAUAGCUCUUGCCCCAGUCCAAGUCUGUCCACACUCCAGCUCCCAGGCUUAUGUCAUGCCUUCCCCAAGUGAAGAAAUUGGGAUAUUCCAGAGCUAUGAUAUGUCUUUAUAUCAAGGAGAACAGAUCCAUUAGAGGUGUGCAGUCUGUGUUACCUCUGUAGGCUCCUGCCUAAUGCUCUUCCAUCACAGCUGUCCUCGAGCAAAGUCAGCUGGGAAAUGCAGAGUUCACCCCCCUCAGCAGCUCCAUGUGCUGUUUUAAGGAGCACAUCAGAUUUAUGCUUUCUUUCUGCAAGACUUCAUGUUCCUUCUUCUCUGACAGGGUUCUUGCUUCUACCACUUGUUUAGUGAGUGCUGAAAUGCCAUAAAAAAAGCAUAUUUAACUUUAUUUCCAAUGCCUAGGUGUAUGCAUCCACUCUGUAGUUCUGACACCAAGGCAAGGGUUUUAUAUCUUUUAUUAGACAAACUGAUACAGAAGGGGGUGAAAGCUACAAGCUCUCAAGAUCCCAAGUGAUUCUCCACACUGAAAUAAAAGCAGCGAUUAUAUGAGGCAGUCUGAUAGCAUAUCGUAUCUCUCCACAACAACCUAAUCUUGAUUGUACACUUUUCUUAACGUAUUGCUGUUAUACCCACCACAGAGCUCCUUAAGAACUUGUGAAGCUCUUGCGUGCCAAGAGCUUUGAAGCCUUUAUGCUUUCGGGUUUGUAGCAGUCCCCUAGAGGUCAGCAGAGCCUAAAUUUUGAAGCAACUCUACAGGAUGAAAGCAAACGUGCAUUUUGAAAGCACCCAUUGCAAGGGUAGUAAAAGCAAGUUUGCUGUUGGCCUGCGAGACCCUGGUUUUGCUCUCUUGCAGCUUCAGCUGUUGCUGGAGAAGGGGUCAGGAUGUGAUAAAGGAAUCAGCGCAUGGGACAAAAAGUCCUGCUUUGGAGACGGAUGGGCUGAGAGCUUGCCGUGGAGAAAGACCAUAAGGAGGAGGCGGGAUAAACAGUCUGAAGAUGGGUGCUGGCCUUGUCAAAGCUGCAUAGGGCAGUGGGAGCUGGUGCCUACACCUUUUGGACCCAGUGGUACCCACCCCUCCUGGGGCCGUGGCUGGACUGCACUGCAUCAAGAGCAAUGUCUAGGACUGUGGCUGCCCUUUUCCCUAUUGUUUAGCUGGCCACCCUCCAAACACAGUUCUCCAUUUUCCUCUGCAUCCUUAAGGAUCGUACGCUCAGCUCCAUCAAAGGCAUUUGCUGAGAACUGAGACUUGCAGGCUUCAUUUAGAAGGGCAUAGUGUACUGGAAAUGCAGUGAUUCACACAGAAUGUCAGUGCCAGUUUUUAUCCCAUCACACUGUACCUUUUGGAUAAUAAAAACUAGGAAAUUUUCAUAUUGUUUUUUCUUGAAGAUGAUGAUGAUUAUUAUUAUUUUACUUCUUGUGUGCUGUAUUUCUUUGUGUUUCUGCAAAACUUUUGUCAGGGAAGGUUUUGAACUGCCUCUGAGUCACAUGGCAGCAAUGCGGAGUGGCAGUGCAGGGCUGUGGGAACUGAACAUGCGAGCUUGUGCGCUGCUUAUGUCUCAUGACGAAGGCCACUAAUAGAUCACCCAGCCCCCAGUGGGCUUCCUGGCUGUGGUGCUUAGGGUGGUCAAACAUAAUGUCAGUCUAUGAGAGACUGAUCUGAAAUCAGACUCCACUGUCCAUUGUCUCAAAGAUUGGUAUGAGAAGCUGAGAUUCCACGGUCCAUUGUCUGAGAGAUGGGUGUGAGGAGCUGAAAUGGGACUCCACCGACCAUUGCUGCAGACACUUGCAGUUGAAGAGCUGGCUGCAAGACGGGAGAAACUGGUCCCCCAGGAACGUGUAACGUGACAUGAAGAACAGAGGUGCUCCCCCAAACUCACUAUAAAAGGGGGAAAAGGUAAUCACGAAGGGGAGCCAUUGCCAUGAGGAUGAUUCCAGAAGGACAGCUCCGUGAGGAUACUCUCCACCGAUGACUACUAUGGACCCUGAGGGACGCCCUCCAUGAGACAUUGCCAUGAGGGCAACUCCAUCAGGACACCUCCAGGGGUACCUUCAAGGGGACGACUCCAGAAGAACACCUCCACGAGGACACCCACCUCCGACGACUACUACGGACUCUUGGGGGACACUCUGCUCUGAUACUGACUACGAACCCUGAAGACUCCCACCACCUCCAACAAUGAUGGAUCCCUGGGACACUGCUGGACCCAUGGUGGUGACACUCUCUCUCUCUCUCUCUCUGCACCCUGAAUCCUUGCUUCAUUUCUAUCCUUUUUCAAUCAUCUAUCCUAUUGCUAUCCCCUUUGUUACAAUAAUUUCUCUUUUUUAUAAUGAUUGCCUUUUUGUAAUAAACCAACUGAUCGAUUACG